rnacentral:piRNA from 1 species
CAGCCUCUCAGAUCUUAGCUCUGU